GUACCCUGAUUUACACUUGCAGAGGAAGUACCCUGAGCUUCAGUUACCUUAGUUCCAAGAAUUCUCUGGGUCUUUUCUCCCAAAACUAUCAUUCAAGGCAAUGAAUCUCCUAGGUAUGUGCCCAGUCUUCUGUGGGUCUUCUCUUUUGAAGAUGGAGUGGACAAACUCCUUUUCCUUGGAUGAUGUGAUGGAAGGACAGUCCUGUCCACUUCCUCUAGAGUUCUCUUUUGUACCAGAGGUGACCCUGGUUUCUCCAGGGCUAUGUCAGUAGAGCACAAACUUUGAGAUCCUACCAAAAGCCAAAGAACUAUGGAAGUAAGAAGAAUGGAUGCCUCUACAUUUGGGCACAGCUUAGAGCUACCACAUCAACCAAACUAUAUUCUAGGGAUCCAAGCAGGAGAAAGAAAAUAAAUCACUUCAAAAAAAAUCA
rnacentral:lncRNA from 1 species